GCAUCUCGCUUACACCGAGAAUAUACCUGUGACACCCAGAUCAUUUUGA
rnacentral:tRNA from 1 species